UACAGAGGGUGCGAGCGUUGUCCGGAAUCACUGGGCGUAAAGGGCGCGUAGGCGGUUUGGCAAGUCUAUGGUGAAAGCUCGCCGCUCAACGGCGAGUCGGCCACGGAUACUGCUGAACUGGAGCACUGUAGAGGCAGGUGGAAUUCCGGGUGUAGCGGUGGAAUGCGUAGAGAUCCGGAAGAACACCGGUGGCGAAGGCGGCCUGCUGGGCAGUAGCUGACGCUGAGGCGCGACAGCAUGGGUAGCAAACAGG
rnacentral:rRNA from 1 species